rnacentral:lncRNA from 1 species
GGCCGCCCUGGGCAGGGGUGCUGGGAAGGUGGUAUCCGCGGGGUUCUGCCGAGUGGAACGGCUCGUGUGUUAUGCCAUCAGAUCCAACGAAAAGACGCAAAAUCCUUUCUCACCAUGUGGGCUCUGAAGAAGCAGUGAGGGCCGCGUGGGACUGAGGACACUGGAGUCCCAUCAGCACAGGAACAGGAGGAAGGCACAGCAAGGUCACCUUCCAGCUCUGAGCUGGUGCAGAAGAUGGAGG